rnacentral:rRNA from 1 species
UGGUGGAGUGAUUUGUCUGCUUAAUUGCGAUAACGAACGAGACCUUAACCUGCUAAAUAGCCCGCGUCGCUCCGGCGGCGCGCCGGCUUCUUAGAGGGACUAUCGGCUCAAGCCGAUGGAAGUUUGAGGCAAUAACA